CUGCAGUGCCGAUGCUCUGAAUAUGUUUUCUCACCUUAAAACCUCAAGUGACAAUCUGUAAGGGGUAAACGUGACUCCUUUUGAAUUUAUUGAGCGGGUACUUGAAGGCGUCGUAGCUGUGGCCGCAACUGUGUAACAUUGCAGGAGUUUAGGAGUGCCUCUUGGCGUUUUCACUCUUAGCUAGCUCGUCAUGACAACACCGCCCAUCUGCAAUUCUCCUCACCAGGACCUGUUGCAUGGCGGUGCAGUGGGGUGGGGUUGAGCAGUCCUUAUUUUAUUAUCAACAACCAAAAACAAGUCCAGCCUCCUUGAGAGUUGUCUUUUUAUGGAGUUGGAGGAAGGUUGCAGCGAGGAAAAAAAAAACACAGCAGAAGGAGGAGAAAGUUCUCGAGAGGAUUUACAUGUUAAACUCUUACACCAGUUUUUGAAAUAUGUUCAGCAGAGGCUGUUGGUCGGUAAGCGCGAGAAACAGGAUAGCUACGUUUCCGCCAUUGUCUAUCUUUGAGACGCAAUGUUGUUACUGUAUCAAGUAUAGGUUUGAUCUUCGCCAUUCUAUACAUCGGUGGGCCUUUCUUGCUGACCUGAGGAGCCCAACCAAACCAAAGUUUGCCCCAGCUGUUAUAUGUCACAGUAUUGCAUUUCCACAUCUGGCACAAUUUAAAGAAUCAAACCAAGUGCAUAGGAAUCCAGAAGUGACCUCACGGGUAUGCGCAAGGUUUCUCUCCAAAUAAUAACUUUGAGUUUUCUUUGUGUGAGAAAUUUCCAGGAAGUCUCGCAACUCACAAAGGGCGGGCGUUACGGAUCGUCUGCCUAACUGCUUCAGUGUGUUUGCGGGCCAAAGGUCACGGAGGAAAAUGGUCCUCGUUGCUCACUCACAUCUCAAGCCCCAAAUGCAUGGUCUGUACGAAGUACAUUUUAUUAUUGCCGUAAAUCUGCCGCUUUAUAAGAGUCACGUUUUGGCUGCCUCAAGCAUUCCUACGACUUAAAAGAAUAAUGCAUCUUCUCACUUGCACAGUCAACAACAUCACUUCUGUUACUGAUUUAGUAAAGGGCUUUUUUGGACAAUGUGUGUAUGCAACCUGCAAUCACAAUGUCCUUCAUGACGACCUUUGAUAGAAAUAAUGUAUGUCUUGGGGCCUCCACCCACCAGUCCGCCGUUGGCCAACGUGGCCGACUGUCGCUUUGGCCCACUGGCCCCUUCGAGUGAUUGUGGUUCACGCUGUAACAGGCCGGCCCCGACGUCUUCUACUUUUGCGCACACGUUUGAAGUGAUGCCACUUUACACCCGCAAUUACAAGCAAAUGAAGCAAAUCGGCUUCAUUUUCACUCACUUGAUCACAGAAUGAUGUUUGUUGCAAAGUCGCAAUUUGCAUUGCUGUCGUCUGUCCCUCGUUUACUUGCUGGUGGAAGAAAUACCAAUGCGGCGACGGUGCAGGAAGAUUCAAAACAUUUCACCCCCACGGAGUCCUGUCGUCUGACGCGAUAUGCACUCUUGCUGCACUUCUCUUGGCAAACGUGCUGGAGACAUGAAGUGACCCCGGCAGCCUUUCAGAUGGCAAACGCAUUUGCCACCCGGCGGGAACUGGAUCAACAUUCUACAAUGAAGAGAACACAUUUUAUAUACAUAUGAUGCAAAAUAAAACUUGGCCUUUUUUCCUGACAA